GUGUCAGCAGCCGCGGUACUACGUAGGUGGCGAGCGUUAUCCGGAAUGAUUGGGCGUAAAGGGUGAGUAGGCGGAAGAACAAGUCCAUUGUAAAAACGCAGAGCUCAACUCUGUGACUUGAUGGAAACUGUUCAUCUCGAGUACAGCAGAGGAUGGCGGAACUCCAUGUGUAGCGGUAAAAUGCGCAGAGAUAUGGAAGAACACCGGUGGCGAAGGCGGCCAUCUGGGCUGGAACUGACGCUGAGUCACGAAAGCGUGGGGAGCAAACAGGAUUAGAUACCCUGGUAGUCCACGCCCUAAACUAUGAGGAGCAGGUGUUGGCAAGAGAUUGUCAGUGCCGAAGCUAACGCAAUGACUCCUCCGCCUGGGGAGUAUGCACGCAAGUGUGAA
rnacentral:rRNA from 1 species